rnacentral:rRNA from 2 species
UAUAAUGCAGUCGAGCGACAGAUAAGGAGCUUGCUCCUUUGACGUUAGCGGCGGACGGGUGAGUAACACGUGGGUAACCUACCUAUAAGACUGGAAUAACUCCGGGAAACCGGGGCUAAUGCCGGAUAACAUUUAGAACCGCAUGGUUCUAAAGUGAAAGAUGGUUUUGCUAUCACUUAUAGAUGGACCCGCGCCGUAUUAGCUAGUUGGUAAGGUAACGGCUUACCAAGGCAACGAUACGUAGCCGACCUGAGAGGGUGAUCGGCCACACUGGAACUGAGACACGGUCCAGACUCCUACGGGAGGCAGCAGUAGGGAAUCUUCCGCAAUGGGCGAAAGCCUGACGGAGCAACGCCGCGUGAGUGAUGAAGGGUUUCGGCUCGUAAAACUCUGUUAUUAGGGAAGAACAAACGUGUAAGUAACUGUGCACGUCUUGACGGUACCUAAUCAGAAAGCCACGGCUAACUACGUGCCAGCAGCCGCGGUAAUACGUAGGUGGCAAGCGUUAUCCGGAAUUAUUGGGCGUAAAGCGCGCGUAGGCGGUUUCUUAAGUCUGAUGUGAAAGCCCACGGCUCAACCGUGGAGGGUCAUUGGAAACUGGGAGACUUGAGUGCAGAAGAGGAAAGUGGAAUUCCAUGUGUAGCGGUGAAAUGCGCAGAGAUAUGGAGGAACACCAGUGGCGAAGGCGACUUUCUGGUCUGUAACUGACGCUGAUGUGCGAAAGCGUGGGGAUCAAACAGGAUUAGAUACCCUGGUAGUCCACGCCGUAAACGAUGAGUGCUAAGU